rnacentral:rRNA from 1 species
AUAGGGCAGGGGUGGAAGCAUGGCAACAUGCGGAGCUGACUGUCACUAAUAGGUCGAGGGCUUAACCAA